ACAAUAUUCUGACCGUCGGUCCACCGAGCAAUAUCACCCGCUCGGUGGAAGAUCUUUCCUGUCGUCGU
rnacentral:pre_miRNA from 1 species